GUCUCAUAGGUCCAGUGCGAUUGAAUAACUUCUCUCACUUAGAACAGUGCUUGGCAUGUGGGGAGAGCUCAGGAAGAGUAUCCAUUGCUGCUAUUAAUCUCCCUUGACUGUUGCCAGAAGGCAAGUGAUACAUGGAAAGAGCUCUGAACUAGUAGAAGUUAAGAAAUUUCUAGUUCCCGCCAUGUGACUUGUGAUAAGUCAUUCACCUCAAAUCCUCAGUUUCCUCAGAUGAGGAUUUUAUGCAGCAGUGCUGGCUUAGCCAUAAAACUACAGGAGAGCUUCUCAAAGAGUAAUGUGCACACAAAUCACCUGGGGAUCUUGUCAAACUGCACAGACUCUUUCUGCAAAUCAGGUGUGGAACCCGAGAUCCGGCAUUUCUAACACGCUCCCAGGUGAUGCCAGUGCUGUUGGUCCAGGGCACCCCCAGCCCUUCUGAUGUGCCAUACAACGUAAGGAGAGCAUUCUGGUCAUCAGGCCGACAGCAGCCUCCAAGACCCUUAGGUUGUCUUCUUGACGCCAGCGGCAGCUUUCAUAAGGCAGUGCGGAGAAGUGACAUCUGCUCCUAAAGUUUCUGCAGAAAGGGGGUCUCUCUUCGUACCUAGUUUCAAGGUCUUACAUGUUCAUUAAGUUUAGCCUUCAGCCUCAGAGUAAUCUCACACUUUGCUCAAUACCGUUUUGCAGAUCUGGUGACUGCGAUGUCAGCAUUCUAAAGCCCCUCCCCUAACAGCUGGUUCCACUUCCUGGGCAGUUACGCCAUCAGGCUACGGUUGGGCCAGGUACCAGACGUUCCUCUUGGGAAGACAGGUGUGAUAUCAGGGGACAGGGUGUGACUGGAGGCCUGAACAGAUGUGUCUGCUGUGCCAGGGGAUGGUUUCCCCUGAAGACCCUCUCUGCUAACACACGAGCCUUCCUCCAGCAGUGGGCCCCAGGACACUGUCUGGACCUUGGCUGCCCUCCUGGCUCUUCGGGUGGCUGUCCUGGGAGAAGGCUGAUGUCUGCAGGCUCCAGACACUGCCCGUGCUGCAGGCCUUACAGAUGCCCAGGAACCUCAGCCCUGAGCCAUGUCUCUGUGGAAUGUUCCCCCUUCCCAAUUCUGUCUCCUGUUUUGUCAUUAAAAUAGUGGUAAAGUAGUUAGCGUGAUGGAGCAUUUAUUACACUAGACACGUACAUAACCGUGCACAGUUAGGACUGCUCACAGCCCUGUGUCUCUCGGAGUUCUCAGUGACAGAAGUUUCUCCUGCUUUGGUCUGCAGCCCCUCUCUCCAGAAAGCUCAAAUGUGAGAUCAUCAGGCUGGGCUCUGAGGCAGGGGACAGGGAACCCCGGAGAUUUCAAGUCAGAUCCCUGUUAUCUUCACCAUCUACAGGGGACCCCGGUGCUUCUUUGAACUCCUUCCAUUCUCUGACAGAUCCACACGUAAAUCAACCCCCCCGGGGCCUCCAUACCAUUCAGUGAGACAAGGCUCAGGAGGAGAAACAACUUAGGUUAACAGGGAGGGCCCCGGUACAUGCACACAUACACACACACACACAAAGGGGGCACACACGUGCGCACACACAAACAGGGCAGCCUAACUUGAAUUUUAACACCCUUGACAGAGGGGCCCCUCAUCCUUGACUGGGAAUCAUGCCCCUCCCCCUCAUGGGCCCCUGCUGGACACCGUGGGCAUUACGCAGGACCCAAGUACCCUGCACAAUGCCCAUGGCGUCUAGCGGGUACUCUCAGUACCUCAGGAGAUUAUAGUUUCACCAUAACUCUUAUCAUUAUCAUCUAGUAUUUGCCUCCUUAUCAGGUCUCUCCCAUCACCCUGGAACAUCAGCCUUAUGAGAAGAGGGUCCUUAUCUGUCGUGUUCCCUGCUGUAACCCCAGAGCACAGGGUAAGCACUGAAAAUGCAUUAGGUGAGCAAAUGAAUGAAUAAGUGAUAGUUUUGUUGCUUUCAGUACCCUU
rnacentral:lncRNA from 1 species